rnacentral:rRNA from 1 species
UUAAAGGUAUUUUCCGGUAGACGAUGGGGAUGCGUUCCAUUAGAUAGUAGGCGGGGUAACGGCCCACCUAGUCAACGAUGGAUAGGGGUUCUGAGAGGAAGGUCCCCCACAUUGGAACUGAGACACGGUCCAAACUCCUACGGGAGGCAGCAGUGAGGAAUAUUGGUCAAUGGGCGAUGGCCUGAACCAGCCAAGUAGCGUGAAGGAUGACUGCCCUAUGGGUUGUAAACUUCUUUUAUAAAGGAAUAAAGUCGGGUAUGCAUACCCGUUUGCAUGUACUUUAUGAAUAAGGAUCGGCUAACUCCGUGCCAGCAGCCGCGGUAAUACGGAGGAUCCGAGCGUUAUCCGGAUUUAUUGGGUUUAAAGGGAGCGUAGAUGGAUGUUUAAGUCAGUUGUGAAAGUUUGCGGCUCAACCGUAAAAUUGCAGUUGAUACUGGAUGUCUUGAGUGCAGUUGAGGCAGGCGGAAUUCGUGGUGUAGCGGUGAAAUGCUUAGAUAUCACGAAGAACUCCGAUUGCGAAGGCAGCCUGCUAAGCUGCAACUGACAUUGAGGCUCGAAAGUGUGGGUAUCAAACAGGAUUAGAUACCCUGGUAGUCCACACGGUAAACGAUGAAUACUCGCUGUUUGCGAUAUACGGCAAGCGGC